AAGAGGGUUUCCUGGCUUUUCAGUUCAAACGAAAAGGGGGGUUUUUCAGAAAACCCAAACCCUAACACAACCCCUAUCCUCUCUUCCAAGACCAGCUACCGCCGGAAUUUCUGGCCAGUGACUGCCGUUAAAGCCCCACUUGCCGGAAAUAAUGGUAGCUAUCGCUGUCCGUGAGAGAAAGAGGUUCAACGUGAUAUAUAGCUGCUGCUACGAUGGAAGGCGUAGGCCAUCGAGUCCAGAGGUCAUCCCUGCCAAUGCAGGGGUUGUCAGAUCUCUACCCCAAAAUAGAGAUGAGAGAGAUGAGAUGUAUGAUUCGGCAACAAUGGCAGUCUAUGCAUCUGUUCUCACUAGAUGCCAGAGACAGAUGCAAAAGAAGAAGAGACGAAGGUUUUUUUUUUUUUUAGAACAUUAAUGGCGGGUAGAUGCUGUUGUACUGCAACCAAAAUUGAUGGGAUUUUAAU